AGUGAACGCUGGCGGUAGGCCUAACACAUGCAAGUCGAACGGCAGCACAGUAAGAGCUUGCUCUUACGGGUGGCGAGUGGCGGACGGGUGAGGAAUACAUCGGAAUCUACUUUUUCGUAGGGGAUAACGUAGGGAAACUUACGCUAAUACCGCAUACGACCUACGGGUGAAAGCAGGGGAUCUUCGGACCUUGCGCGAUUGAAUGAGCCGAUGUCGGAUUAGCUAGUUGGCGGGGUAAAGGCCCACCAAGGUGACGAUCCGUAGCUGGUCUGAGAGGAUGAUCAGCCACACUGGAACUGAGACACGGUCCAGACUCCUACGGGAGGCAGCAGUGGGGAAUAUUGGACAAUGGGCGCAAGCCUGAUCCAGCCAUACCGCGUGGGUGAAGAAGGCCUUCGGGUUGUAAAGCCCUUUUGUUGGGAAAGAAAAGCAGCAGGUUAAUACCCCGCUGUUCUGACGGUACCCAAAGAAUAAGCACCGGCUAACUUCGUG
rnacentral:rRNA from 1 species